UUCAGUGUUGGCUUUUUUCCUAUCAGUGUGCGCCGGGUUCGUUGUUGAAAUUUAAAUGCAAGAAUAGAAGAAAUUAAAUAUCUAAGAAUGUUUAAAAUUAUUAAAUUUUUAAAAAUCUAAAGAGAGAUUUUUUGUAACUAAGCUUCAAUUGCUUGCAAUGAAAAUGGCCGCUGAGAAAAUAAUUCGAAUUCUGAAACUAGACGGCAACGCCAUAGCUUAUGAAAGUCGCCGUUAAAAGAUCGAGUGCAAGCCGAAGCAGGUUGAGAAGUUAACGGAAAUCAUUUAACCCCUAUGUCUUGCUUUCACAAGUCAUCGAGUUUGUUUGCUGCUAUUAAUGAAUACGAAUGACUGGGGAUGUGAUAUCUAAAAUAUGUUUUGGAUAUCUUGAGUGUUUACUUGCUCGGAUGAUUGUUCAUCAUCAUUUUCUUCACUGAUGUUUGGUUGGUGCAAAAAUGCUUCGAGAAGAAAAUGAACUUUAGUGAGAGAUUAAUUGGAGUAAAAUUAAUUUAUUGCUGGUUCCGGAUGCUAGAAGCGCAGAAAUACUUCCGCCGAGAAAUUGAAAGAAUUGUCUGCUGCUCUGGAUAUUCCUCGGUGUGGUGAGUGACUUUCUGCAUGAUAUAUUUUUUUACUAGAUCCUAAGUUUUUUUUAUUUAUCUUUCGACUCGAGUCAUGGGCUCAUAUAAUUUCCUAAUUUUGUUUUUUGCUAUGAAACUGUCUGUCUUUAGCAAAAAUACACCAGAAUCCAUAGGAAGCUAUGGAAGCCCAUAUAAAUUUAUAAAUAUUUAUACUAAAAAAUUUGCCGGAAAAUUUUACUUGUAGAAAUAUUUAAUGGUACUGAAA